ACAAACUGCGGACCUUUUAUUGAUUUCUUUGGUGAAAAGGAUGCUGGAGUUCCUGGAUUGGAUGAUAUAAGCAACGAAGUUGAUAUUAUGAAAGAGAAAGGCAAAACUGUUGAUGAUAGUAUACCUAUUGAUGGGGAGUGCAACCUCGAAAUUGAGGUCUUCUUGAAUUCUCCUCCCACUGAAACUACAGAAGUACUUUCUGCUGUUCUUGAUGGAUCCCCUGUUCAUGUGAUCAAGAAAGAGACUGCUGAGAAUCUUCCUAGGGGU